UUACCAGGCAAAACAUCCCUCCAUCUUUCUUUCUCUGUGUCGCUCUUACUGUCUCCUCUCUCUUCCUCCUUCCCAUCCCCCCCUCUGCUGCUCUCUGCUUUCCUUCUCUCACCGCUGUGGUGGGUUCAGUUCUUGACAAGGCCCCACAUCCUGCUAGUUGCUAAAUGAAUAAUACAUGCAUGUUCUAGCUGCACUGUUAGACAGGGAUGGAGAGAGAAACAGAAGAGAAGCCAUGUGUUUGUGUGUGUGUGGGUCUUUCGAGGACUGUUUUCUCUUGAAACCCCUGAUGGAAAGGCCAAAGCUGUCACAGAACUUUAGAUUUAGUCUAUAUGUGGCUUUUACGUAAGGAGAUGUCUGCAUUCCACAAUCUCAUAGAUCCUGUUCUUUCUUUCUUCAGCAGAGAUAAGAAGCAGAGGUUGUUGGUGCAGUUCCCAUCGGGGUGAAAGCGAGGCCAGUGCAGCCCUAAGGAGCGCGAUUGAGAACAUAAUUCCAGUCACAUCCGAAGAGAGCUUUGAUUUCCAAGACUUGCGCUAAGAAUGCAACUCGGUGCCAAAUCAUUGCAGAGCAGCUCCAAAAUGGGAAAUGGAAACAGCAGCCCCCUUGCAGCCCAGAGGAAAACAUUCAGCAGCCGAGGAGCUCCAGCGCAGGCAGGUGAUUCACUUCUAAUGGAUGUUAAUGCGGUGGACACGACUGAGCAUAUUCCCAGUGGUGUACACUUACAGUUAAUUGAUAAUUGAGGUCUAUGAAAAAGAUGCACAUUAAAUCAUGGCCAAUGAGCCUGCCUAUAAGAUUGCAGCGAUUCAAAGAACAAGUCUCUAGAGUCUCUUAAGGUCUCCCACGACUGAAAUGCACUCUGAAUGAAUAAUUUAAGUGGAAUUAUUCUUAACUCCUAUUACCUUACUUAAGAUAUUAUUAUUUCAAACAUGUAGCAUAUGCAUGAUGUUGAAAUGCAUAAACGCUUUCACCUCCGCCAACUCCAGGUUGCUCAGUCCUCUAAUGCCUCCCUUGAUGUCUAAUGUUUAAUCAGUGCCGUUCCUAAUGAGCCCAUGUGCUGAGACGUGAUUCUGUGAUUUGUGUAAAUGUAAUGUUUCGUCAGAUAAUAAUAAUCUGCAGCAUGUUGCUCAGAAAUUGAUGUCUGGUUUGCUGCGCUUUCCUAAAACUGAAGCUAGAGUUAUCCCUCAGUAGCAGCAGCAGCAGCUCUGGAAAGCUUUCAAAUUUUCCUCAAGUACUUUAGUUAUACAUUCGCAAAAAAAGCUGUUUACUCAGGAAAAAAAAAAAAACAUAGUCAAAGCAUUCUGACUACAACUCCAAUACGAAAUACAUGUCAU